UACGUAGGGGGCAAGCGUUGUCCGGAAUCAUUGGGCGUAAAGGGCGCGUAGGUGGCCCGGUCAGUCCGUGGUGAAAGCCCGGGGCUCAACUCCGGAACUGCCUUUAAGACCGCAUCGCUAGAACGUCGGAGAGGUAAGUGGAAUUCCGAGUGUAGAGGUGAAAUUCGUAGAUAUUCGGAAGAACACCAGUGGCGAAGGCGACUUACUGGACGACUGUUGACGCUGAGGUGCGAAAGCGUGGGGAGCAAACAGG
rnacentral:rRNA from 1 species